UUCUAGUAUCAGAAGUACAAGAAGGAAAAUGGAAGUUUAGUUCUGCUACAUCAAAGAUUUCAGGAUUAAAAUAACUAAAUGAGUCUUUAUGCCUCAAACUUUAUUUUACAAUAAAGAAAUAAUGAAAUAAUCACAUAAUAAAAAUAUAAAUAGCAGAGAAAACCUGAGAAAAUUUUCCUGAAAAGUCUGUAAAGGAAAAGCAGCUUUUUAUCCUGAAAGAUCAGAAUCAGCUCCAACAUCUGCAUCUGACAGCAUCAAGUCAACCAGAAAGAAAAGAAAAAAGAAAAUGACUUCUUUCUGAUCACAUCUAUUCCGCUGCUCACAGUCUGCUGCUGCUCACAUUCUUCACAUUUAUAGUCCACUUUUAAAAGUUCAGCAGACAGGUGCUCUGCUUUGGAGUGUGACGAUGUCGUGGGUGAUGUGGAGAGUGAAGUUUCCGUUUCACCCACAGCAUGCUUUAGGGCAGCCGGGUCGGACUUGAUGUUUGAAAUACAGAUUGACAGCUCAGAUUUAACUAUCUGUAGUUCCGUUUUGAUGGGUGUUAAACUUUCACUCAAAGCCGCCGGGAGCUGGGUCUUUAAAAUAACCACGGUCUCGUUACAGAGUGGAAGUAGCAGUUCCUCCUUAAGGUCAGAGAUUGCAGCAUCUGAGGGCCUCUUCAAAAGAAGACGUACUUGAUGAAGGCAUUCUGGAGCAGGACCAGAAAGACCACGACCAAGCAGCCUUGAGAUCUUAGGCAGCGUCUCCCUCAGGUUCCUCUCUAUCUCCCCACACAUCCACCAACCACUGGAACACAUCUCCAAAGUUCUGCUGGGCCAGCUCAGCUUCCCCUCAGAAGAAGUGCCGCCACCUGCCAGAUGAAGGAGCCUUUUGAGAGGCAGCUGGCAUCGUGAUUGGACUGUACUUUGGUCUGUUCCAAUCCAGCUUCAGCUCCAGAGACGGCAGGCGGGACGAGUCAACGGAGGCCGGGUGGAUGAAGGCAUGCAGCUGAGUACAAUCCAGAAAACAACAGAGGAGGAGUGCAGCGGCCCAGAGCCAGAACAACCAGAGUAGCAUCGUAUGUCUCUUAGAAAACAUCAUAGUAUAGCCUUUGGUAUGAAAAAACGCCAUCAUAUACAUCGUAUAUUGUACAAAUAACAAGUCAAAGGAAAGAGACAUACAUUGUAGAAUUGUAGUAAUUGUGGGCUGACUGAUUUACUGAUUAUCAGUAUUUUAUUUUUUACUGAUUUAUGGUAAUAAAUACAUUUAAAAAUGGCGCUA